GACGAACGCUGGCGGCGUGCUUAACACAUGCAAGUCGAACGAGACGAUUGAAAGCUUGCUUUCGAAAGUCGAGUGGCAAACGGGUGAGUAACGCGUAGACAACCUGCCUUUGAGAUGGGGACAACAGUUCGAAAGGACUGCUAAUACCGAAUGUUGUAUAUUUUCCACAUGGAAGAUAUAUUAAAGAUGGCCUCUAUUUAUAAGCUAUCGCUCAAAGAUGGGUCUGCGUCUGAUUAGCUAGUUGGUGGGGUAACGGCCUACCAAGGCGAUGAUCAGUAGCCGGUCUGAGAGGAUGAACGGCCACAUUGGGACUGAGACACGGCCCAGACUCCUACGGGAGGCAGCAGUGGGGAAUCUUCCACAAUGGACGAAAGUCUGAUGGAGCAACGCCGCGUGAGUGAAGAAGGGUUUCGGCUCGUAAAGCUCUGUUGUCGGGGACGAAUGUGCAGUAUUUGAAUAAAGUACUGUAAUGACGGUACCUGACGAGGAAGCCACGGCUAACUACGUGCCAGCCGCCGCCGUAA
rnacentral:rRNA from 1 species